rnacentral:rRNA from 1 species
ACUCCUACGGGAGGCAGCAGUAGGGAAUCUUCCACAAUGGACGAAAGUCUGAUGGAGCAACGCCGCGUGAGUGAAGAAGGGUUUCGGCUCGUAAAACUCUGUUGUUAAAGAAGAACAUAUCUGAGAGUAACUGUUCAGGUAUUGACGGUAUUUAACCAGAAAGCCACGGCUAACUACGUGCCAGCAGCCGCGGUAAUACGUAGGUGGCAAGCGUUGUCCGGAUUUAUUGGGGCGUAAAGCGAGCGCAGGCGGUUUUUAAGUCUGAUGUGAAAGCCUUCGGCUCAACCGAAGAAGUGCAUCGGAAACUGGGAAACUUGAGUGCAGAAGAGGACAGUGGAACUCCAUGUGUAGCGGUGAAAUGCGUAGAUAUAUGGAAGAACACCAGUGGCGAAGGCGGCUGUCUGGUCUGUAACUGACGCUGAGGCUCGAAAGUAUGGGUAGCAAACAGGAUUAGAUACCCUGGUAGGAUAGCC